rnacentral:rRNA from 1 species
CUAACACAUGCAAGUCGAGCGGUAGAGAGAAGCUUGCUUCUCUUGAGAGCGGCGGACGGGUGAGUAAUGCCUAGGAAUCUGCCUGGUAGUGGGGGAUAACGUUCGGAAACGGACGCUAAUACCGCAUACGUCCUACGGGAGAAAGCAGGGGACCUUCGGGCCUUGCGCUAUCAGAUGAGCCUAGGUCGGAUUAGCUAGUUGGUGAGGUAAUGGCUCACCAAGGCGACGAUCCGUAACUGGUCUGAGAGGAUGAUCAGUCACACUGGAACUGAGACACGGUCCAGACUCCUACGGGAGGCAGCAGUGGGGAAUAUUGGACAAUGGGCGAAAGCCUGAUCCAGCCAUGCCGCGUGUGUGAAGAAGGUCUUCGGAUUGUAAAGCACUUUAAGUUGGGAGGAAGGGCAUUAACCUAAUACGUUAGUGUUUUGACGUUACCGACAGAAUAAGCACCGGCUAACUCUGUGCCAGCAGCCGCGGUAAUACAGAGGGUGCAAGCGUUAAUCGGAAUUACUGGGCGUAAAGCGCGCGUAGGUGGUUUGUUAAGUUGGAUGUGAAAUCCCCGGGCUCAACCUGGGAACUGCAUUCAAAACUGACUGACUAGAGUAUGGUAGAGGGUGGUGGAAUUUCCUGUGUAGCGGUGAAAUGCGUAGAUAUAGGAAGGAACACCAGUGGCGAAGGCGACCACCUGGACUAAUACUGACACUGAGGUGCGAAAGCGUGGGGAGCAAACAGGAUUAGAUACCCUGGUAGUCCACGCCGUAAACGAUGUCAACUAGCCGUUGGGAGCCUUGAGCUCUUAGUGGCGCAGCUAACGCAUUAAGUUGACCGCUGGGGAGUACGGCCGCAAGGUAAACUCAAUGA